GAUGAACGCUAGCGGCAGGCCUAACACAUGCAAGUCGAGGGGGAGGUUACUUUCGGGUAACUGAGACCGGCGUACGGGUGCGUAACGCGUAUACAAUCUGCCUUUCACUGGGGGAUAGCCCGAAGAAAUUUGGAUUAAUACCCCAUAGUAUAGUAAUACGGCAUCGUGAUGCUAUUAAAGCUUAGGUGGUGAAAGAUGAGUAUGCGUUCUAUUAGCUAGUUGGAGAGGUAACGGCUCCCCAAGGCGAUGAUAGAUAGGGGUUCUGAGAGGGAUGUCCCCCACACUGGUACUGAGAUACGGACCAGACUCCUACAGGAGGCAGCAGUGAGGAAUAUUGGACAAUGGUCGGAAGACUGAUCCAGCCAUGCCGCGUGCAGGAUGAAGGUCUUAUGGAUUGUAAACUGCUUUUGUAAGGGAAGAAUAAGGGCUACGCGUAGUUUGAUGACGGUACCUUACGAAUAAGCAUCGGCUAACUCCGUG
rnacentral:rRNA from 1 species